rnacentral:rRNA from 1 species
UACGUAGGGGGCAAGCGUUGUCCGGAAUCAUUGGGCGUAAAGAGCGUGUAGGUGGCUCGGUAAGUCCGCUGUGAAAGUCCAGGGCUCAACCCUGGAAAGCCGGUGGAAACUGUCGAGCUCGAGUCCGGAAGAGGCGAGUGGAAUUCCUGGUGUAGCGGUGAAAUGCGCAGAUAUCAGGAAGAACACCCGUGGCGAAGGCGGCUCUCUGGGACGGUACUGACGCUGAGACGCGAAAGCGUGGGGAGCGAACAGG